UACGUAGGGGGCGAGCGUUGUCCGGAAUUACUGGGCGUAAAGGGCACGCAGGCGGUGAUUCAAGUCAGCUGUAAAAGGAUGCGGCUUAACCGUGUUUAGCAGUUGAAACUGGAUGACUGGAGUGCUGGAGAGGCAAGUGGAAUUCCCAGUGUAGCGGUGAAAUGCGUAGAUAUUGGGAAGAACAUCGGUGGCGAAGGCGACUUGCUGGCCAGUAACUGACGCUGAGGUGCGAAAGCCAGGGUAGCAAACGGG
rnacentral:rRNA from 1 species